rnacentral:rRNA from 1 species
UACGUAGUGGGCAAGCGUUGUCCGGAUUUAUUGGGCGUAAAGCGCGUGUAGGCGGCCAGGUAGGUCUGCUGUGAAAACUCGAGGCUCAACCUCGAGAUGUCGGCAGAAACCCUCUGGCUAGAGUCCGGAAGAGGAGAGUGGAAUUCCCGGUGUAGCGGUGAAAUGCGCAGAUAUCGGGAAGAACACCCGUGGCGAAGGCGGCUCUCUGGGACGGUACUGACGCUGAGACGCGAAAGCGUGGGGAGCGAACAGG